rnacentral:rRNA from 1 species
UACGUAGGAGGCAAGCGUUGUCCGGAAUUACUGGGCGUAAAGCGCACGUAGGCGGUCUUUUAAGUCGGGGGUGAAAUCCUGGAGCUCAACUCCAGAACUGCCUUCGAUACUGAGAGACUUGAGUCCGGGAGAGGUGAGUGGAACUGCGAGUGUAGAGGUGAAAUUCGUAGAUAUCGAGAGGAACACCGGUGGCGAAGGCGGCCAACUGGACGAGUACUGACGCUGAGACACGAAAGCGUGGGGAGCAAACAGG